CUCCAUUGCCAAUGAAUUCCAUGUUGGACAAGCAAUCAAAAAGUGAAGCUAUCUCAAAAAAAGCAAGAAGAAAAAGCAUGCCAGCUGUACAUUUCCCCCCAACUAAGCCAGCUGAAGUAUCACCUGUCAAAGAAAUAAUCACUAAUCAGAGAAAUGAGAGAGCAGCACCUCGAUGCACUGUGUGCAAGAAUUGGAUGAAAGGCCAUAAAAAUAUAAUGAACUGUCCAAAAAACGGAAAGUAACCAGUUUUUUAGGACCUGGUGGUAUGAGCCCAGUUAGUUGGGAUUCAGUGAAGUGUGAAUUGACUGCAUGGACAGAAUAAAGAGAAAGGAAUUGUAAUUUUGUAUGUUUUGUAUAACAAGUAUAAGUGUGAAUCAAAGAUGCAAUAAAUCAAGAGUGGCUUAAAUCAUUCCACACUUCACUGAAUCCCUACUAGCUGGGCUCAUGCAAACACCUAAAAUAAUAUAUAAUGUUAUGUUAUUUUACAAAUUGUCCUCUUCAUACCCUGCAAAGUGUUCAUUUUUUUUAAAUUAGAAGUUUUUCGAAUAACAUGGUAAGCACAAUCUGGAAUUGAAAUUCUUUUGUCUCGAUGCAACAACUCGAUGAAACCUGAAAAGGCAUAAUACACAAGGUCCAUUAAAACAGAAUCCUUUAUGAUAUCUAACUCCAUCUUGUCUUUGGUAAAGAUUGGCAGCUAAAUUUAAUGCCCAGCGAUUGAGGCAAAUGGCAUCAAAUCCUGGAUGCUCUGUUAUGCAUUUUGGCUGCCUUCCUAAUUCGGAUACCACCAUAUGAUCUUGCAUUCCAAUCAUGCAAUUGGCAAUUUCGUGGCAGCAUCUACAUUCUUUUGGAUUAACCAAGAGAGGAACACGGCAGUUACCACAAUGGCACCUACGAAAGUUAUCUGUCAAAAGCUUCGGCAACAAUAAAUAAACAAAUUUUCCAACUUUUCUUACCAAGAAUCAAGAGGAACUUCAUUUUGCAUUCUGCGUUUGAGCUCUUCUGUUUGGCGUCUUUCUUCUUCUGUUUCUCUAAUAUACUUUUCUAACCACUCUUCAUCUGCAAGUGGUUCGUUUUCAUACGCUUCAGCUUGGCCAUACUCAAAAUCGCCAUCGGUGUUUCGGAGCGCAUUUGAUGACGAUUGAUCUUCGUCUUCUAAAUCGAAUUCCCGACUGUUCAAUUCAAUAUUUUCCACUUUUGUUGCUGUACUCGAUUCAGAAUCAGAUGUGGACAUGUUUCGUACAAUUUUUAUAUUAAUUUCAAAGCAAUAUAUAAAGAAUUGUUAUUUCA